rnacentral:rRNA from 1 species
UGCAGAAUCCCGUGAACCAUCGAGUUUUUGAACGCAAGUUGCGCCCGAAGCCUUUGGCUGAGGGCACGUCUGCCUGGGCGUCACGCAUCGCGUCUCCCCCAAAUCCACCAAGAGUGGAGGAGGGGAAGGAGGAUGGUCUCCCGUGACUCACCGGUCGCGGCUGGCCUAAAAUUGGAGCCCUCGGCAUGGGGAUGCCGCGGCGAUAGGUGGUGAACAAGGCCUCGGCCAAGCAAGCAACCCGUCGUGCGUCGCCGUGCCAACGUGAGCUCGAAGGACCCUUGACGUUGCCUAACGGCAACCAAACCGUUGCGACCCCAGGUCAGGCGGGGCUACCCGCUGAAUUUAA